CUCGACGGAGCCACAUUCCGGCUCAAUGGGAGAUGGCGGAGCUGCGUCUGCUUCGGCCGUGCGGCCGAUCGUCGAAGACGGGACGCCCCCGUGUGGGGGCCACAGAGAGAGCGGAAUGGGGCUAUGAUCGGGGCUCGGCGCGCUCUCUGUCUGCAAAGGCGGGGCUGAGCAACGACGUUCGGGCGGGCGACGGAUUCGAGGGCGUACUGGAGUUGAGGCGGACGUGUGAUUAUGGAUAAAGCAUCCUGUGGUAAGAAAUUGGUCUUCAGGUGGGCAGGUUUUAUGUGAGAGAGAGGGUACAAGUUCACACUCCCUUUGAGCAACUGAUUUUAAUUAUAGUCAGCUUAUAAUUUUGGCAAUGUAUUUCAUAUCAAUAUGCAACUGAUAUAGUUAACUAAUCUACCUUAAGUGGAUAUUUGUGCAAUAAGUUAAGACACUAUAUUUUGACAAAUUUUUGUUUGACCAAUUUAAUUGUAGAUUAUCCAUUCAUUCAUCCGGUACUUAUUUUUAUUCAUUGCAUACAUGGUUAUAGUUAUGUAGUGAUAAUGCACGACUUACAUCUUAAAUGAAUUUAGAUCAUUUUCGGGAAA